GACGUUCCCCUUCGGGGGACAGAGUGACAGGUGGUGCAUGGUUGUCGUCAGCUCGUGUCGUGAGAUGUUGGGUUAAGUCCCGCAACGAGCGCAACCCUUGUCCUUAGUUGCCAGCAUUCAGUUGGGCACUCUAAGGAGACUGCCGGUGACAAACCGGAGGAAGGUGGGGAUGACGUCAAAUCAUCAUGCCCCUUAUGACCUGGGCUACACACGUGCUACAAUGGAUGGUACAAAGGGCUGCGAGACCGCGAGGUUUAGCCAAUCCCAUAAAACCAUUCUCAGUUCGGAUUGUAGGCUGCAACUCGCCUACAUGAAGCCGGAAUCGCUAGUAAUCGUGGAUCAGCAUGCCACGGUGAAUACGUUCCCG
rnacentral:rRNA from 1 species